AUGGCCUGGACGGUGCUUCUGCUUGGGCUCCUCGCUUACAGCUCAGGAUCCUGGGCCCAGUCUGUGCUGACUCAGCCACAGUCAGUCUCUGGGAACCUGGGCCAGAUGGUCACCAUCUCCUGCACUGGAAGCAGCUCCAACAUUGGGAGUAAUUCUGUGCACUGGCACCAACAGCUCCCAGGGACAGCCCCCAAAAUCCUGAUAUAUGGUAAUGACAAACGGCCUUCAGGAGUCCCUGAUCGAUUCUCUGGCUCCAAGUCUGGCAGCUCAGCCACCCUGACCAUCACGGGGCUCCAGCCUGAGGACGAGGCUGAUUAUUACUGCUCAAGUUACUCAUCCGGGGGAUUCGGCCAUCUUGAAUCUGCUCAGUGA